rnacentral:rRNA from 1 species
AGUGAACGCUGGCGGUAGGCCUAACACAUGCAAGUCGAACGGCAGCACAGUAAGAGCUUGCUCUUACGGGUGGCGAGUGGCGGACGGGUGAGGAAUACAUCGGAAUCUACUUUUCGUGGGGGAUAACGUAGGGAAACUUACGCUAAUACCGCAUACGACCUACGGGUGAAAGCAGGGGAUCUUCGGACCUUGCGCGAUUGAAUGGGCCGAUGUCGGAUUAGCUAGUUGGCGGGGUAAAGGCCCACCAAGGCGACGAUCCGUAGCUGGUCUGAGAGGAUGAUCCGCCACACUGGAACUGAGACACGGUCCAGACUCCGACGGGAGGCAGGAGUGGGGAAUAUUGGACAAUGGGCGCAAGCCUGAUCCAGCCAUACCGCGUGGGUGAAGAAGGCCUUCGGGUUGUAAAGCCCUUUUGUUGGGAAAGAAAAGCAGCAGGUUAAUACCCCGCUGUUCUGACGGUACCCAAAGAAUAAGCACCGGCUAACUUCGU